rnacentral:rRNA from 1 species
AACGAACGCUGGCGGCAUGCCUAACACAUGCAAGUCGAACGAGACCUUUGGGUCUAGUGGCGCACGGGUGCGUAACGCGCGGGAAUCUGCCCUUGGGUUCGGAAUAACAGUUAGAAAUGACUGCUAAUACCGGAUGAUGACUUCGGUCCAAAGAUUUAUCGCCCAGGGAUGAGCCCGCGUAGGAUUAGCUUGUUGGUGAGGUAAAAGCUCACCAAGGCGGCGAUCCUUAGCUGGUCUGAGAGGAUGAUCAGCCACACUGGGACUGAGACACGGCCCAGACUCCUACGGGAGGAAGCAGUGGGGAAUAUUGGACAAUGGGCGAAAGCCUGAUCCAGCAAUGCCGCGUGAGUGAUGAAGGCCUUAGGGUUGUAAAGCUCUUUUACCCGGGAUGAUAAUGACAGUACCGGGAGAAUAAGCCCCGGCUAACUCCGUGCCAGCAGCCGCAGUAAAAC